rnacentral:tRNA from 1 species
GGGGUGUUAGCUCAGUUGGUAGAGCGCGAUGCUGGCAGCGUCGAGGUCAGGGGUUCGACCCCCCUACACUCCACCA